GGCGGCCGGACCUGGAGCGGCUCGGCAGCAGAGCCCGGAGCAUGGCAGCGAUCGGAGCCGUUUCUCGCGUCUCGCCGGCUCCUAUCGGUCGUCGGGAACUUUUUCCAGCGGCCGGUGCCUCCCCGCGGUGGUGGUGGUGGCAACAGCGGCGGCGCCGGGCGGGCUCGGCGCUGCCCCCGGGGCUGGGGCUGCUGGGACUGGUGUUCUCCCGCUUCUGCUGCAGUGCCUUAGCUGGACCAGUUGUUGAUCCACAUGUGACAGCAGUGUGGGGGAAGAAGGUUGCACUGAAAUGCAUCAUUGAUGUAAAUGAAACAAUAACACAAGUUUCUUGGGAGAAGAUCCAUGGUAAAACUUCAGAGACUAUUGCUGUUCAUCAUCCUGAAUAUGGAAUUUCUAUUCAAGAAAAAUACCAAGGAAAAGUGUCAUUUAAAAACUAUUCACUUACUGAUGCAACAAUCAUCCUAAAAAAUGUAAGCUUUUCUGAUGCAGGAGAAUAUAUCUGUAAGGCAGUUACAUUCCCUCUUGGAAAUUCACAGUCAUCAAUAACUGUAACAGUAUUAGUUGAACCUGUUGUGAGCUUAACAAAAGGACCAAACCCUCUGAUUGAUGGUGCCAAUCAAACAAUAGCAGCCAUUUGUACAGCAGCCACUGGAAAACCUGCUGCAGAGAUUGACUGGGAAGGAGGUCUUGGUGAGAUGGAAUCCAGCUCCACUUUGUUUCCAAAUGAAACUGUGACAGUCAUAAGUCAGUAUACCAUCAUCCCUACAAGAUUUGCAAGAGGAAGACGAAUAACUUGUAUUGUGAGGCACCCGGCUUUGGAAAAGGAGAUAAGAUUCUCUCACGUGUUGGACAUACAGUAUGCCCCUGAAGUUUCAGUAACUGGAUAUGAUGGAAACUGGUUCAUUGGAAGAGAAAAUGUUCAGCUCAGAUGUAAUGCUGAUGCAAAUCCAUUACCCAUGGAAUUCAUGUGGACCAGGCUGGAUGGACAGUGGCCUGAAGGACUGCUGUCUGUCAACAAUACUCUGCAGUUCAGCAGCCCAUUGACUUACAACUACACUGGGACUUAUAUCUGUAAGGUGACUAAUUCUCUUGGUCAGAGGAGUGAUCAGAAGACCAUCUACAUAUUAGAUCCUCCUACUACUACCACUCGACUGCCCACGGUUCCCUGGCAUCCUUCGACUGAUGGCAUCACAGGUUUAGCAACAGAACCUAGAAUAAUAGAUUUCCCAUCAUCAACUUUGCCAGCAAUGCAGGAAGACACUUGGGGUACUGUCAUCGGUAGUGCUGUGGGUGGGGCCCUCUUCCUCAUACUGGUCAGUGUUCUGGUUGGAAUUAUCUGCUAUAGGAGAAGACGGACGUUCCGUGGUGACUACUUUGCUAAGAACUACAUUCCACCAUCAGAUAUGCAAAAAGAGUCUCAAAUAGAUGUUCUUCAGUCAGAUGAUGUGGAUUCUUACCCUGACAGUAUAAAAAAAGAAAUAAAGCAUCCAAUGAACAGCUUAAUAUCUAAAGAUUAUUUAGAAGACCCUGAAAAACCAGAGUGGAACAAUAUAGACAAUAUUAACAGGUACCAGGAACGUUAUGAAAGACCGAUGGAUUACUAUGAAAGUGGAACAUUGGGGAUGAAGUAUAUGGGUGGUGAUUGUUACGAUGACAAUGAAGAAGACUUUGUUUCUCACAUAGAUGGCUCGGUAAUAUCCCGGAGGGAGUGGUAUGUGUAGUAGCCACUGAAAACAAAACUUGUAUUCACAAUUCAUUUCAUUGGCUGAUCACUUUCAGAUUGUUUAUACUUACAUAUGGGGAGGAAUAAACUUUUUGAAACUGAUUUUUUUGGAAGGUUUUUAUAUUGUGACUUGACAACUGCAAAUAUUGAAUUUGGGGGAAGUGUAUUUGAGCUGCUUUUUUUCCCUAUGUUGUACUACUGUUUAAGAUUUGAAUUUGGAAGCAGAAUGCUUACAAACCGGUUUAUGUCAGAGGUUAAAAAAGAAAAAGCUAAAUUAAAGUUACCAGUCAUAUUUGUUAAAGAAUAUAAAGUGGCUGUCUUGGGUCUCUGAUUUAAAAAAAUAUAUAUAUAGAAAAGUUCUCAUAAGAGUGAUCAAAUAAAAUUUUGUGGGCAUUUAUUUUGCAGAAGUAGAAAGUGAAUUACUCAAAUCUAGCUGCCAUCUGUGGUAGUCUUAAUGCUUCUAUAUAACAAAUAACUUACCAGUUAUGAUGAGUUACAGUGGAAUCAAAGCUUUAUUUUUAGGUUUUUUCUGCACAAAAAUGAAUACCUCUUAGCAUUUUAAUGAGCCUUCUUGUAACUAUGUACUUAAAAGAAGUCAUUGCACUGAAAGUAACUUAUCUAUGAACAAGGUUUUGAGGAGUAACUGUAAACUAGUAAAACGCUUGUUUGAAUAAGAAAAUUAUUUUUGUAUAGUCAUUGAUUUAUAAAUAUUAUGUGUAUAUAUACAUACAAUAUGGUAUUUUGUUGAGCCUGUACUUGUUAGGACGUCAGAAUCCUUUAUUGAACAUCAGGCUCCUUUUGCAAGUACAGCAUAUAACUUUAAUGAACCCUUUCUGAGAUGGGAAUCUCAAAUUUGAACUGGACACAGCUAGUAAGAAAACUCCAAUGGAUUUUUAAGCUGGAGGUGAAAGCAAACUUGAAUAUUUCCUGGGAUGCCAAUAAACAUCGUGUGCUAAGAGGUGUCAAAAUGUUUGCUGGAGUUUAUAUGACUAGAAGCUAAAACAAUGGUUUUACUCUGCUUCUAAGAAGUUAGAAUGCUUCCUUUGUAGAGAGUACCUAGAACUUCAGAUUAUUAUUAGGGAAGCGAACACUUGCGCUGCUGCUUCAUGUAGUGAACACAUGCAAUGCAAUGAUGCAACUACAGAAUGUAUUAAGACACAGGAGUUGAGAUAAAAAUAUGCAGUUUCUGUGCUGCAGUGGAUUUGUUUUCGCUGCAAACAACUUAGUGUUUUAAGUGUGCUUGAAUUAUAGAAAAAUGAAUUCAGAGUGAGAAGGAAGGGUGUAGAAAUGCCAUUUUAAAAUGUCUAGCAUGGAAAAAACAAAUGAAGCUGAGAAGUCUAUUAGGACUUGAAACAUGAAAAAGUGAAAAACACUUAAAUUUGAAAUGAAAUAGGUCACAUGCUUACAGCUACUUCAGUGGAGUUUCUUGCUGGAAUUACUUUGCUAUCCUCAUGAUCUUUGGUAGUUUAAAGCAUUUAGAGCUUUACAAAAAUAGCUGUUUUGAGUGUUGUAGACAAUACACUGUGAUUGCAUAUGACUGCAUGUCUUCAAAAAAAAAAAAAGAUGAAAACAGCUUUAUUUGAAAUUCAAAUGGAAAAACUUCCCUAAACAACUCAAGUUCACAUUCGGAUUAAUGGAGUACUGAUACAUGAUUAACCAAAGUCUCAAGAACACUAGGAGAUCAUAUUGUGUAUCAGUAGCUAGAGAGCAAACCCAAAGAGUUUGUUUCUAGCUGAGGGUUCUGAUGCAGAUUAUUUCUGGAAUAAAGAGACCAUACAUCUCUUCAAAUAACAGUACUUGAUAUGUCAUCUUUAAAAGAUGGUGUUACUUAAAUAUAACCACGGACAUUUUCUCCACGUGGGUUAUCUUUUCUCUGUGGAGUUUCUUGUUGGUGUUCUUGCUUUUUAAAGAAAAAAAUAUAUAUUUAGUUCCCAUUGGUUAAGAAGUUGAAGUGUUUUGGUGUUGAAGCUGAUAAUAGAUAUAGGGCUUACAAGUGUUGCAAUGUUUUUGUAUAUUGUUAUGUCUGCUGUUUAAAAGAAAAAAAAAGAAAUUGAUUGUAAGUAUAAAUGGCUGUUGUGUGAAUAAACUUUUUGUUACAUUCUCGAAUAUAGGUAGUGUUUAAAAAGUUUGACAGACAUACCUUGAAAGCAAAGGUGAAAAAGCACAAAACCACAGGCUGGGCAGAAGAAACUAUUCUAAUUAGACUGUUAAAACAGCUUUGUAGCAUCUCCUCUUGGAGACCCUAACCUUUCAAAAUGAGUUGCUUUAGUAAUUAUUUGAAGACUGUGAACCUUAGGAAUAAGGGAUAGUUGCUUUCCAUACAACUGCACUUCAAGCACUGUAGAUGCACUGUCUAGGUGUCAUAGAAUUCAAGAGAGAACCACAACAACAAAAAAGCAUCCUCUUUACUCAGCUGCUGUAGUUCUGCUUUAACUACAUGUUGUAACUUCAUUCCCAUCUACUCACACCUCUUGGUGAUCAAAUAACCAUGUAGCUGGUGCUGUACAUCUUAAGUGCCCUCUGAUUUGUUAUCUUGGCAAAGUAGUCUGGGUUUGUUAUUGUUCAUCUUGUUAGACUGAAAAUCUGUUAUCUGGCCAAAGCAGUCCCAAAAAAGUAAAUUAAUUGAGUACUGCAAUAACUGCACUUCACUUUUUGUGUACUGAGAUGCUUGCCUGGAUGUUGCUUUGUUUCCUGGAUGGAGGUGAAUGGGUAGCUGCUUUUCUCACACCCAAAGCAGAAUUGUCUAAGCUUUUACUGAACCUAGUGCUUUGUAUUAACUUCUGAUAACUCUUCCUUAAAUAAGAUGGCACUGAGUAUAAUCUAAAUUUAAGCAUUUAAAGUGCAACAAUUCAGCUUUCUACUGUCUGAUAUGCCCAUUUUCUUUUUUUAAUGAGAAGAGGGGAAUUAAGGGUCUCAUAUAUGUGAUUCUUGUAUUUACACUGGUAUCUGACCAGCAAAUAAGGCUUGUGUUAGGAAAGCUGUGUGGUAAAAACAAAGGUCACCUAAAGCGGUAUGUUACACUGAUUUUUUUUUUUUCUGUCAUCUGUUAGUUAAAAUUAAGGGAUUGAGUCAUAAAGUCACAAAAAAAAAAAGCAAACAACAGUAAACACCACCAACUUAAUUCUGUGUAAUAGUUUCUUCCUGCUACUUAAAAAUUUAAGUGGUUCCAAGGGAUUAUUGUUGACAGGUCUUUCAUAAGCUUUUUUCUUUUGAACUGAGGGAUGAGAAAAGGGGUGCUUUAGUCCAGUGUAAAAUGACAAUUGAACUGCUAAUGAGUAAUUGAUAAAACAGCUUAUAUAAUUGUUUUGUUCCUGGAUGUUUAGGCAGCUGAAAGGACUCCUAAAGUUUCCUAAACUAGGAGGCUAAAUUGGAGAGGAUUGUUUGGUGUUCAGAGAAACAAUAUGAGCGUUUCUUAAGGGAAAUAAAUGGAGUACAUCGCUAGAAAUGUAGGUGUAGGUAAAUGUAGGUGUAGAGCUGUGUUAACUUCAAACUCCUUUGCUACCAUCUUUCUGAUUCUGUAAUCUAUAUACAUCUGAACAGUUGUUUCUGUAUGCCACUAGUAUUUUACAAGUAGUGGUUUUAAUGAAGCCAGUGUGAAUUAUUCCUGUUACACAACUCUUUGAUAAGUUACUGGAAGUUGGGAAUGUUGAAUCUAAUGUUGAAUAAGAGCUUGCUAGCAGGUUUCACACUUACUUUUAGAAAUCUUUUACAACUUAGUGAAUUCCUGGCAUAGUGAAAUGAGUGAUCUUUAAUGACUGAUGUGUGCUAAUUCAGUAUGACAGCUUGUUAAGCGUAAGAUGUAGCACUGCUGUGGUUGAAUGAAAAAUGCUCUUCUUAAAGAAAAAAAUAUUGCUGUUCUUCACAUAAUCUUCUUAUAAAGUUUAUGAGUACAAACGACUGCUUCUCUUAGCUUUAGGUAGUAGAGAAACAUAGGUAGUCCUAGGAGUUGCUUUAAGUGUGAGCCAAGCAUAAGCGUGUUUGCAUUGUUCUUCAUAGUGUAUCUUUACUGGACUGUAUGUUUCACUUUUUUCUUUCUGUAGGCUUAAUGAAUUUGAAGAGAUCACCAAUAAUGUUAUAGUUUUUCUAGGUUUUUUUUUAAUUAAUACUUCAUUUGUUCAUGUAAAUACAAAGCGUGUGUUCAUCUUGCCUUGGAAUUUAAUAUCAGAGCAUGUAGCUAGUAUUUUUUAAAAGUAGUCAGUGAAAUGCUUGAACUGAUAUUCAUGACUUGAGGUUGCUUAACUUUACCAAUUCUUGAAAUGGGCGGCUGGAGCCAAGGAUCACAAGAGUGCUAGUACAGGAAGAGGCUUUCUGUUUGGUGAUGGAGAGAAGAGACGUUCCUCAGAGCAGCACUGAAAUAGCCUGUUUGAGCAUUGAAACAGGGGCUGUGAUUGGAGCAGUCCUUGCUCUUUUUAUCAUUACCAUCUUUGUGACAGUGCUGCUGACGCCAAGGAAGAAAAGGCCAUCCUAUCUUGACAAAGUGAUUGAUCUUCCGCCCACUCACAAACCAUCUUCACACGAGGAGAGAGCGUUCUCUCUACCGCAGAAAGAAACUAUAAUUCAG